GCCUGACUUCCGGCCGCCAUUUUUGGAUUCGAAAGAAAUGGCGGCAUUUUCAACUGCGUAAACAGAUCCGCUCAAACCUCCAAGGUAGACGUCCUCCUCAGAAAGCCUCGUGGGACCUGAACACGUCCAAGGUUACAGAAAGUUCCUGUGAGUGAAAUGCACCGGGGGGUAAAAGAUGGCGGAGGCACACGUGUGUGUCCAGUCGUGAUGGGCGAGUGAAAGGGCAGGUGAAAUGAAGGUGGGCUUUGACUUUGGUGGGGCCUCCUGGGGAUGA